rnacentral:rRNA from 1 species
GACAGAGGGUGCGAACGUUGUUCGGAAUUACUGGGCGUAAAGCGCAUGUAGGCGGCAGCGCAAGUCGGGCGUGAAAUCCCACGGCUCAACCGUGGAAGUGCACUCGAAACUGCGCAGCUAGAGUCCUGGAGAGGAAGGUGGAAUGCUUGGUGUAGAGGUGAAAUUCGUAGAUAUCAAGCGGAACACCGGUGGCGAAGGCGGCCUUCUGGAUAGUGACUGACGCUGAGAUGCGAAAGCGUGGGGAGCAAACAGG